CCUACGGGAGACAGCAGUGAGGAAUAUUGGUCAAUGGACGAGAGUCUGAACCAGCCAAGUAGCGUGAAGGAUGACUGCCCUAUGGGUUGUAAACUUCUUUUAUAUGGGAAUAAAAUGUUCCACGUGUGGGCUUUUGUAUGUACCAUAUGAAUAAGGAUCGGCUAACUCCGUGCCAGCAGCCGCGGUAAUACGGAGGAUCCGAGCGUUAUCCGGAUUUAUUGGGUUUAAAGGGUGCGUAGGUGGAUUGUUAAGUCAGGUGUGAAAGUUCGCGGCUCAACCGUAAAAUUGCAGUUGAAACUGGCAGUCUUGAGUACAGUAGAGGUAGGCGGAAUUCGUGGUGUAGCGGUGAAAUGCUUAGAUAUCACGAAGAACUCCGAUUGCGAAGGCAGCUCACUGGACUGCAACUGACACUGAGGCUCGAAAGUGUGGGUAUCAAACAGGAUUAGAUACCCUUGUAGUC
rnacentral:rRNA from 1 species